rnacentral:lncRNA from 1 species
CUAAAUGACACUAAUGCCAGAGGAGAUGCUGUAGGAGAGCCACCAUUGCCAGCUGUACGUUCACACUGAUUUGGCAGUCUUUAGAUGCUUUCAGUACCCUGGCAAAGCUUUUCUGGUGUUUCUGGAGGAUACGCAUCAUAAUGACAGGAAAAUAAGCCAGAACAAUUUAAGGAGAAGUGGGAGAAGUGGUAUGAAUGCCCAAAGCAACCAUCUAAGCAUACAGGAAAAAAAGGUAUGUCAAAACUGAGGUUUUGUGUGUUUUAUUUCUUCACAAUUUUAGACUGUGGAAAAGUGGGGAAACCUGUGUAGAUGUGAACUAUCUAAUCACUGAUCAACUAAUCAACUUUCUAGUUAAGAAAUUAACAGUUUGAAAGUACUGUUCAAUUUGUGUAAAAAA